rnacentral:rRNA from 1 species
GACGAACCGUCCUAACGUUGUUCGGAAUCACUGGGCUUAAAGGGCGCGUAGGCGGCCCUGUCAGUCGGGUGUGAAAGCCCGGGGCUCAACCCCGGAACGGCACCCGAGACGGCGGGGCUGGAGACCGGGAGAGGAGGGUGGAAUAGCCAGUGUAGAGGUGAAAUUCGUAGAUAUUGGCUGGAACACCGGUGGCGAAAGCGGCUCUCUGGCCCGGUUCUGACGCUGAGGCGCGAAAGCGUGGGGAGCAAACAGGG